CAGCCGCCGCGGUAAUACGAAGGGGGCUAGCGUUGUUCGGAAUUACUGGGCGUAAAGGGCGCGUAGGCGGCCAUUCAAGUUAGAUGUGAAAGCCCUGGGCUCAACCUAGGAAUUGCAUUUGAUACUGUUUGGCUUGAGUUCGGGAGAGGUGAGUGGAAUUCCCAGUGUAGAGGUGAAAUCCGUAGAUAUUGGGAAGAACACCAGUGGCGAAGGCGGCUCACUGGACCGACACUGACGCUGAGGCGCGAAAGCGUGGGGAGCAAACAGGAUUAGAUACCCGCGUAGUCCAUGUCUCUUAUAA
rnacentral:rRNA from 1 species